CAUAAAAAUAGCUAAUACCCUAACAACACACAACAUUCCAGGAAUGUACUACCAAAGUUCUAUCAAUAUUUGAAUGUCCUGGACAUUUAGGGAACAUUCGGUGAACAUCUGUUUAAAUUAUUCCUGGAAUGUUACCAUAAGACAUUCUGUGAACAUACUACCAAUGUUCCUAUAUUUUAAGUUGCGAAAUAAUACAUACGUGUAAGAGAUACAACAUUACUUAUAACAUACCAGACAAACUAAGUGACAUUUUAGGCCUACAGUGCAAUAAUAUGUCAAAUUUAAAGAGUUUCCCAAGUUCAAUUAAUACAAUAUUAUAAACAUACAAAUGUAAUAAAAAUUAUUGUUCGCGAAUAUUCAAUUUGGAAUGCGAUUUUGUUAAUAAAAAAAAUACUUAUAACUUAUGCAAAACCCAAGAGAGGCAUUUAUAUUUAUUUCUUUUGCGUUCAUUUUCAAAUUCGCCGUGCAUAUAUUUUUGUGCAUGGCGCUUGAGAGGGCAUCACGUGACUAAAAACGACCAACCAACGACCUCGCUUCGGCCAUCUUGGCAUCUUCAUCUUGGCGACUGGCGACCUUGCCCGGCCUUGCCUUGCCGUGGAUUGUUUGUAUUAUUUGUGCUUUUUAAGAAUAUUUUUUUAAUUCGGAUACUUUUAUAAUAGCUUUAAUAGUAUUAUUAACAUAGUGCAUAAAAUGGUGUCCUGUUUUUAACGCAGUUGGAGUAGCAGAAACAAAUGUAGAUAAAAAAAUCUGCAGGAAUAACGUUUCAAUUAUGACAGAAGCUCAAAACAAAUGACUGAAUGAACAGCCCUAUUAAAAGCUUUCCAGAAGAUCCUGCGAAGAAGACAUGAAGUAUAGAUCAGAUUUGUUAAUAGAGGAGUAUGUUCAAAACACUUUCUAGAAAAAGAUAUUGACAGAACUUCACUUUCAUCUGUUCGUUUGAGAGACUGUGCUGUUCCAAUAGCUUAUGUCACACAGAAUCAGCUGAGAGAAGUGGUCUACAAAAAACCAGAAAGGAAACAGAAUAUGUGGCUACGAAAAGCAAAAGAAAGGUUUACAAAGCAAAUGUGACACAUUUUUUUAUAAUAUUUAGGAAUGUCAGCAAAUUACAUUAAAAAAUGUAUGUAAAGAUUUUUUGCAAUAAAAAUGUUUAUAUUUA